GGGAGCGUAGCAUAACGGUUAAUGCAACAAGCUUAUAUCUUGUCGAUUCUAGGUUCGAAUCCUAGCGCUCCCA
rnacentral:tRNA from 1 species